AGGCACGGCCCCAGCGCCGCGCGCGGGGCUGCUGCUGCGCCGCCGCCUUGUGUGGUGGUGGUGGGGGGGGGGGGUAUCAGGCGGUGUCUGCCUGCGGUUAGCCCCGAGAUUAGCUGGCGGGGCUAAAACGGCUACAAACAGGGCACAUGUGCAAAAUGCACUUCAGGAAAAAGGACGCUUUGACUUGCGGAAAUCAGGCUCUGUAGCCUCGGAAUGGUUAUAAGGCAGCCGUGUUUACUCGGCGCUGCGCACACACGCCGGGCGCACGGGGCUAUAGCUCCGCAUAACUCGCCCACCUGCGGCUGCUGGCGCUGUGCUUCUGUUAGUGGGACGAAGCCAUCCUCAUUUAAUUGACCCCAGCUCACCCUGACAUCCCUGUUGGAAAGAGAAGGCUUUCUUAGCAGAGAGGACUACUGUGCAUGGCUGCCCUGUGUCUCCGUUGAUCAGACUCAUGGCAAAGUAAACCACAUGAGGAUAAAACGGGUUUCCCUCUGGACGGAUCAGAGUAUGGAUUGAAAUAGGACCUGGAAGAACAAAGGGCGUUCUCAAGAGAGUCUUUUCCCAUUCAUUUGCUUAGUCACUGGGAAACUCUUCCAGAAAAUUCAGGCAAACAAUUUCCCUGCAUGGAAACCUCAUUUUGUCUGUUGAGCUAAGCAUUUAUCCCAGGAUAUUCAAGUUUUUUGACAUGGUAUAAGCCUUCCUGCUCUAACUUCCCUCGGAUUUUCUUUUCUUCUAAAGUUCAUUUCUCUGGCAAAGCAAUGCAAUCCUUGAAUUCAGACACCUGUGGAAAACUUCAGAAACUUCCUGGUCAAGAACGUUCUUCAGACAGCAUCAAUGAUAUCACAACAACGCAGACUUCUUUAACUCUUUCUUUAAAAUACCCACCACAGACUCUGUAUCAUUUUCAUGCAGACCAAUCCCCAGCUUGAUCAUCUACAUUGAAUUUGUUGCAUAUUAAACGUAUUUCUUUUUUGUUAUUAUUAUUACAGCAGAUGAAAAAAACGCUCACUCUAAAUCUUGCUGGCUUUCUAUCAGAUCAGAUUGACCGAGGCAUGGAAAGACAAAGAUUGAUUCCUUGUCUUUAUUUGUUUUCUGCAGAAUUUUUCUGUCUCUUUUGCUUCAAGUUCAACUGGUUAGUACACUUGGCUGGUAUUCAUUUUUGUUGCUUAAGAUAACUGUUUGUAUAUUUUUCAAUAGAAUGUUGCCAUGAUCUAUGUUGUGAAGUCUAGAAAACAGACCCCCACCCCCCCAAAGAAAAGAAAAAAAAAAAAAAAGAAAGAAAAAAAAAGAAAAGAUGCUUAGUCCUUUAAAAAAAAUACUUAUUCAUUUGGCGGGAUGGAGGAAGUUAAACAUGGUUUCUAUUCUAUCCAUGUAGACUGUGCUCAGUAGAAGUUUCUGUAAAAUUCUGCUGACAAAUGGCAGAAUCCAACUGGACUGCUCUAGGAAGUGGAACAGACCCACAGUGGACAGGAAAAUGUACUAUCAGAACAAUUAGGAAAUCAAAUCUAUUGUGAUCUAAGUUACUGACAAGUGUCAAAUGAGUUCCCUCCGUUCCUAUUUGGCAUGGAAGAAAUGGGCACAGAAAUGACUCAUUUACCCUAAGUAUGUCUCUGUCACCUUCUCAUCUCCAACAUGAUUCUCCUUUUCAGCUUGACCUCAGUGUAAACUGUGAGUCUCUGUUAAGCGUCAUGCACCAAGUGUCAGAGGCGACUGUGCUCUGACCAAGACUCCCUGUGCUAGACAAGCUAUGGAGAGCAGAAAUCUUUUUGUAGUGGUCCUAGGAGAAGGCAGUUUAUUUGGCUGCAGCUCUUCUUAGAACACUAAGGAAAAUCUAUUCCUCAAAGGCUGCAUCUCUAGUAGAUGCUGGGAUGGAGCAAGAAUGUAGUUUUGCAAUAAAUCUCCAGUCAUCACAUUUACUCCAUGCAGCUGUAGUUUCAGAGAGGAUUAGUGGUACUUGAAUGAAUGCUCUCUCUAAAGAAGCAGAAGUGAAAGAUCUGUUUCAGGUGCAAAAUCAAUGUAUUGCAACCCCAAAAUGGGAGAUCAAAAGCCAAACUAAUCACCUGUUCUACAAAGAGAUCUGAAUGCAAUUUUGCAGGCAUUUUCUUCCAAUGGUGCCAAAUGAAUCUAGUCCAAUGCUCAUAUACGCUGGAACCACGUGACGAAUACGUAAGGCCUUUAGCCUUAGCUGCUUUGGUCUCCUGAUCAUCUCCAAUUGGACUGUCUUGCUCGUUACUGUACCUCCAAGGGAACAGAACACAGUUUGGAUAAAUUAACAAUCUAGAAAGAGCUCUGGCAGAAACAUAGGCAUUCCUUGCUACCAUCAUCACAGAAGGUGCAGCAGCCACAGGGCUGCUUCAUUCAUUCACUCACUCACAGAGCACCAAGAACAAAUCCUCAUUUGUUACAACAAAUACUCAUUUGUUGCAAAAAUAGAUUAUUGCUCCAUCCCCACAUCUAAGUAGAUGCAGCCUUUGAUGAAGAGACGUUCUUUAGUGUUCGAAUAAAAGUCAUUGCUUAUUAACUGCUUUUCAAAAGAAUACUAAGAUGAGGUCUACAAUUUACAGCACAGUGGUUGAGCCAGACAUCCUCAAGGGUCUGUCCCAAAAAGGAUAAUUUGUUGCAUAAUUCUCGAAAACCCCAGGAGGUGUCAUCUUGAAUUACCUUAUGUAAUCACCUUAGACUAAUCACCUUAUUACCUUAGUCUUUCCCCAAAUGUUUUCGUGCUCAGUCUCAAUUCCUCCUGCCUCAUUUACACACAUACAGCAACUAAGAUUGAUUCAAGUGCAUCCUUCCCCUUGGGAGGCAAAUAAAAGGUCUAGUGCCUAAAA